AGAUCCCUGGCUCAGAUUGAACGCUGGCGGAUGCUUUACACAUGCAAGUCGAACGGCAGCACGGACUUCGGUCUGGUGGCGAGUGGCGAACGGGUGAGUGCACGUAUCGGAACGUGCCUAGUAGCGGGGGAUAACUACGCGAAAGCGUAGCUAAUACCGCAGGCUGCCCUUCGGGGAAAGCGGGGACCUUCGGGCCUCGCACUAUUAGAGCGGCCGAUAUCGGAUUAGCUAGUUGGUGGGGUAACGGCUCACCAAGGCGACGAUCCGUAGCUGGUUUGAGAGGACGACCAGCCACACUGGGACUGAGACACGGCCCAGACUCUACGGGAGGCAGCAGUGGGACUUGGGACAAUGGGGAAACUCGACCAGCCAUCCCGCGUGUGCGAUGCGAAGGCCUUCGGUUGUAAAGCACUUUUGGCAGGAAAAGAAACGGCACGGGAUAAUAACGCUCCCCGUGCAACUGACGGUACUCGCAGAAUAAGCACCGGCUAACUACGUGCCAGCAGCCGCGGUAAUAUGUAGGGUGCAAGCGUUAAUCGGAAUUACUGGGCGUGAAGCGUGCGCAGGUGGUUCGGAAAGAAAGAUGUGAAAUCCCAGAGCUUAACUUUGGAACUGCAUUUUUAACUACCGAGCUAGAGGCGCGUGUCAGAGGGAGGUGGAAUUCCGCGUGUAGCAGUGAAAUGCGUAGAUAUGCGGAGGAACACCGAUGGCGAAGCGCAGCCUCCUGGGGAUAACACUGACGCUCAUGCACGAAAGCGGGGAGCAAACAGGGAUUAGAUACCCUAGUCCACGUUCAAACGAUGUCAACUAGCUGUUGGGGCUCUCUGGCCUGGUAGCGCAGCUAACGCGUGAAGUUGACCGCCUGGGGAGUACGGUCGCAAGAUUAAAACCUAAAGUGGAAUUGACGGGGACCCGCACAAGCGGCGGAUGAUGUGGAUUAAUUCGAUGCAAACGCGAAAACCUUACUCAAUUUUGACAUGUCUGGAAUCCUGAAGAGAUUUGGGGAGUGCCUGCAAGAGAACCGGAACACAGGUGCUGCAUGGCUGUCGUCAGCUCGUGUCGUGAGAUGUUGGGUUAAGUCCCAAAACGAGCGCAACCCUUGUCAUUAGUUGCUACGAGGGGCACUCUAAUGAGACUGCCGGCGGUCAGCCCGGAGGAAGGUGGGGAUGACGUCGUCCUCAUGGCCUCUUAUGGGUAGGGCUUCACACGUCAUACAAUGGUCGGGACAGGUCGCCAACCCGCGAGGGGGAGCCAAUCCCAGAACCCGAUCGUAGUCCGGAUCGCAGUUCGCAACUCGACUGUGUGAAGUCGGAAUCGCUAGUAAUCGCGGAUCAGCAUGUCGCGGUGAAUACGUUCCUUGGUCUUGUACACACUGUCAUCGCCCAGUGGGAGUGGUUUUACCAGAAGUAGUUAGCCUAACCGUAAGGAGGGCGAUUACCACGGUAGGAUUCAUGACUGGGGUGAAGUCGUAACACAGC
rnacentral:rRNA from 1 species